rnacentral:rRNA from 1 species
UACGAAGGGGGCUAGCGUUGCUCGGAAUCACUGGGCGUAAAGGGUGCGUAGGCGGGUCUUUUAAGUCAGGGGUGAAAUCCUGGAGCUCAACUCCAGAACUGCCUUUGAUACUGAAGAUCUUGAGUUCGGGAGAGGUGAGUGGAACUGCGAGUGUAGAGGUGAAAUUCGUAGAUAUUCGCAAGAACACCAGUGGCGAAGGCGGCUCACUGGCCCGAUACUGACGCUGAGGCACGAAAGCGUGGGGAGCAACAG